GCAGUAGUGGUUGGGUGGCAGAGCUCUCACCUUCCAUGUGGGAGACCCAGGUUCAACACCUGGCCAAUGCA
rnacentral:tRNA from 1 species